CACGGCCCAGACUCCUACGGGAGGCAGCAGUAGGGAAUCUUCCGCAAUGGACGAAAGUCUGACGGAGCAACGCCGCGUGAGUGAUGAAGGUUUUCGGAUCGUAAAGCUCUGUUGUUAGGGAAGAACAAGUACCGUUCGAAUAGGGCGGUACCUUGACGGUACCUAACCAGAAAGCCACGGCUAACUACGUGCCAGCAGCCGCGGUAAUACGUAGGUGGCAAGCGUUGUCCGGAAUUAUUGGGCGUAAAGGGCUCGGAGGCGGUUUCUUAAGUCUGAUGUGAAAGCCCCCGGCUCAACCGGGGAGGGUCAUUGGAAACUGGGGAACUUGAGUGCAGAAGAGGAGAGUGGAAUUCCACGUGUAGCCGUGAAAUGCGUAGAGAUGUGGAGGAACACCAGUGGCGAAGGCGACUCUCUGGUCUGUAACUGACGCUGAGGAGCGAAAGCGUGGGGAGCGAACAGGAUUAGAUACCCUGGUAGUCCACGCCGUAAACGAUGAGUGCUAAGUGUUAGGGGGUUUCCGCCCCUUAGUGCUGCAGCUAACGCAUUAAGCACUCCGCCUGGGGAGUACGGUCGCAAGACUGAAACUCAAAGGAAUUGACGGGGGCCCGCACAAGCGGUGGAGCAUGUGGUUUAAUUCGAAGCAACGCGAAGACCCUUACCAGGUCUUGACAUCCUCUGACAAUCCUAGAGAUAGGACGUCCCCUUCGGGGGCAGAGUGACAGGUGGUGCAUGGUUGUCGUCAGCUCGUGUCGUGAGAUGUUGGGUUAAGUCCCGCAACGAGCGCAACCCUUGAUCUUAGUUGCCAGCAUUCAGUUGGGCACUCUAAGGUGACUGCCGGUGACAAACCGGAGGAAGGUGGGGAUGACGUCAAAUCAUCAUGCCCCUUAUGACCUGGGCUACACACGUGCUACAAUGGACAGAACAAAGGGCAGCGAAACCGCGAGGUUAAGCCAAUCCCACAAAUCUGUUCUCAGUUCGGAUCGCAGUCUGCAACUCGACUGCGUGAAGCUGGAAUCGCUAGUAAUCGCGG
rnacentral:rRNA from 2 species